AUUGAACGCUGGCGGCAGGCCUAACACAUGCAAGUCGAGCGAGCGGCGGACGGGUGAGGAAUGUCCGUGAGACUGCCUGAGGGAGGGGGAGAACUACUGGAAACGCUAACUACUACCGCGUACCAUCAGGCCUGGCCAGGUGGGGUUAGCUGGUAGGUGGGGUAACGGCUCACCAAGGCGACGAUCCCUAGCUGGUCUGGGAGGAUGACCAGCCACACUGGAACUGAGACACGGUCCAGACUCCUACGGGAGGCAGCAGUGGGGAAUAUUGCACAAUGGGCGAAAGCCUGAUGCAGCCAUGCCGCGUGUGUGAAGAAGGCCUUCGGGUUGUAAAGCACUUUCAGCGGGGAGGCGUUACCCGCAGAAGAAGCACCGGCUAACUCCGUGCCAGCAGCCGCGGUAAUUC
rnacentral:rRNA from 1 species